AGUAGAAUGGCUGAGAUAUGAAGUGAUAGAUUGUAAAUCUAUUUAGGGGGUUUACCCUUCUGCUA
rnacentral:tRNA from 1 species